rnacentral:rRNA from 1 species
GCCAGACUCCUACGGGAGGCAGCAGUGGGGAAUAUUGCACAAUGGGGGAAACCCUGAUGCAGUGACGCCGCGUGAGCGAUGAAGUAUUUCGGUAUGUAAAGCUCUAUCAGCAGGGAAGAAAAUGACGGUACCUGACUAAGAAGCCCCGGCUAACUACGUGCCAGCAGCCGCGGUAAUACGUAGGGGGCAAGCGUUAUCCGGAUUUACUGGGUGUAAAGGGAGCGUAGACGGCGGUGCAAGCCAGAUGUGAAAUCCCAAGGCUCAACCUUGGAACUGCAUUUGAAACUGUUGGUCUUGAGUAUCGGAGAGGCAGGCGGAAUUCCUAGUGUAGCGGUGAAAUGCGUAGAUAUUAGGAGGAACACCAGUGACGAAGGCGGCCUGCUGGACGACAACUGACGGUGAGGCGCGAAAGCGUGGGGAGCAAACAGGAUUAGAUACCCUCGUAC